rnacentral:sRNA from 1 species
GCUAGGCGAAGUGGCGCACACCUGUAAUCCCAGCAACUCAGGAGGCUGAGGCAACAGAAUCAUGAGUUCAAACCCAGCCUCAGCAAUUUAUGGAGAGCCUAAGCAACUCAGUGAGAUCUUGUCUCUA